rnacentral:tRNA from 1 species
GGGCGAUUAGCUCAGUUGGUUUAGAGCGCCUGCCUUACAAGCAGGAUGUCGGGGGUUCAAGUCCCUCAUCGCCCA